rnacentral:rRNA from 1 species
UACGGAGGAUGCAAGCGUUAUCCGGAAUGAUUGGGCGUAAAGCGUCCGCAGGUGGCUAUGUAAGUCUGCUGUUAAAGAGUGAGGCUCAACCUCAUAAGAGCAGUGGAAACUACAUGGCUAGAGUGCGUUCGGGGCAGAGGGAAUUCCUGGUGUAGCGGUGAAAUGCGUAGAGAUCAGGAAGAACACCGGUGGCGAAAGCGCUCUGCUAGGCCGCAACUGACACUGAGGGAUGAAAGCUAGGGGAGCGAAUGGG